UUCCAGGGGCCUAAUACCCUCAAAGCACCCAAAUCCUGUCUGAUUUUGGAAGAUAAGUUGGGUCAUCCCUGACUAGUGCUUGGAUGAAAGACCAUCAAAUAGUCUACAGGCUGUAUUUUGGAGG
rnacentral:rRNA from 11 species